UUUGUCUCGUUCUUAUAUUGAUUAAAUUAAUUAUAAGUAUAAGGGUAAAACUUCUGAUGGAUGAUCGUAGUAGGGUGGCGCUGUGAUAGUAUCGAUCAGCAACAGCUGGUCAUGUAGGCUUUAUAAAAUAUUUAUAGUACAAUGUUAGUAAAAAUGUGACAGUUGAAGAUGAUCUACCUAAAAUGUGUAAUGUUUUAGUUAAUUUACAACAUGCUUAUUAAUUUAAUGUAGUUAAUCAGUCUAGUGCACAAUAAUUUUGACAUUUCCUUGUGGAUUUUAUAUACAAUAUUCAAGAAGCAGUAGAUGGAUCAAUAUUACACACAACAGGAUGUUAUUGUGUUUGUUUCUCUUGUGAUAGUUUUGGUUUUUAUCGUUGUUAUGGUUACUGUUUUAAGUAUUGUGGCAUCACGAUGGAGGAAUGUGCGCGAUGAUAUGGAUGGACUGACAGACAAUGCAGAAAUAGCAACUGAUAUGUCAGUUUGGUCGGUCCAGGGAACGUACAGGACAUUGCCGGAUUGAAGUGGAAAUGAAAAACGAAAAACAAAAAUAUUUUUCAUGACUCCAUUCAUCAGAACAGAGAAAAUUAAGACUCAAGUUUUAUACGUUUUUAAGGAUAGAUUAAUUCUGCUGGUUAAAGUCUUAACAUACGAUGGUUUUUGACUUGGGAAUUGCAUUUGAUGUACUUAGACCAUCCAUGCAUAUACAAUCUUUUAAAAUGGAGAGAACACAAUUAGUUUAAGUUGGUAAUUUACAGUUUUUCCCAUUUGAAUCAGAAAUCAAAUGUCUAAAAGAAGUUUAAUUUAGAUGUAAAGUGGUUUUAAAAUAGUUUUCUUAAUCUUCUGCAGUUAUAUAUCAAACAAGUAUAUAACGGAGAGGAGGGCCUGUAUCAUUAUUGAGAUGAUGAAACAUAAAUGAACCGUUGGUGCACUUUUAUAUUAUAAUAUGAGAAGAUUUUUGUUUAAUUUUAAUUACAAUACUUGUUUUCUUCGUAUAUAAAAAUUAAGGAUUUAUAUACCAUAGGUAUAUAAAAAAAGGUAAAUUUGAAAAAAAGCAUUAUAGAUUUUUAUUCAAAUUUUACAAUUUACAUUUUUUUUGGUUUACAGCGCAACUAGAAAACGAUCAUUUGUUGAUAUCACUUAAGCUUUAACCAAACUGACACCUCUGUUGAAAAACCCUGGUGAUAAAAAAGUUUAAAUUUUAACGUUAUUGUUAUUAUAGACAGAAUAGAUAAAUUUCCCUUUUCCUGGUCAUAUGCAUAAUUUCAAAUCUGAACAAAUACAGAACAAGAAUGAUCAUUUAUUAUGCGUGCAAUAUAUAUUGAUAUCUGAUUGAUAAUACAUGUACAUUCAACAUUUUUCUAUUUUUGUAACCAAUUUAAAGGUUUAAUUACACUCGAUCUCCAUUCAGUUUUAAUUUCAUAUGACUUUAUAAUCAUAUCAUUAAUGACACAUGUGCAGAGAUUAUAAAACUAAAUUUUUAUUUCACAAAAUCAUUCUAUAAAAAGACUAUUUCUUAAACAAGAUGAACAUUUUUGCAAUCCGAUAGUUAAAUGCAGUUCAUUCUGUAAUUAUAGAUGAUGUUACUGAAAGCUGAAAUUUUCCAACAGUAUUACAGUUUGUUCCUCUGCAAAUCAGAUCUCUUGAUAAUAAAACCGAUUUCUUGCAGACGUAAUGGUUUAAUUUGCUCUUCGAUUUGACAUUUAGCUAUAAUGACUUAAUCUAAUUUAAUGUGAUAUUGUAUUAAGACAUGACAUACAUCUUUCUAUUUUUAUUUUAUUAAAAAAAUAAGCUAAUUUAUAUAUAUAUGUAUCAGCAAUAUCUGUAAAUAACUUAAAAAAAUAACUAUAAAAUCAAAUGCAAUGGGUAUACAAAACAUAAAAUAUCAAAAUAAACUGCACUUUUGUUUUCAUUUUGUGAAUAUUUUAAUAUGGUUACAAACAUUUUCUGUUAAGAAUUAUUAUUUAUGAUGAUGCUAAUUAUUAUUUAAAUACAUUAUGAACUUAGUUCAGGAACCGCUACCAAAAACUAUUGAUGUACAAAUGACAAUAACUAGUGUGGAAUACAAUUGAUUUUUUAAAAACAAAACAGUCCUCAACAGAAACACCAUCGAGUUAAGGGAGUAAUUAUAUGUAUAAA